CAUGGUGCCCCAUCCCUGUAGGUUCAAGGCCAGGUUAGAUGGGGCCCCUGGGCAGUUGAGCUGGUGGGCGGCAGCCCUGCCCACAGCAAGUGUUGGGGCCCAAUGAUCUUUAAGAUCCCUUCCAACCAAAGCCACUCUAUGAUUCCAUGAUUCUAUGAUUCUAUUAAUCCCACAUCCCAGAGCCCAGUGCUCAGCUGGGAGCUGAGGAUGUUGGAGGUGGCUUCUCCACUCCCUGCUCAGAGCUGCACAGCCAGAGGAACCCAGUCAAAUGGCUCUGCAAAUGGCCCCCAAUCUGUGUGCUUAUUUUCACUAGUACACCCUGUGACACAGCGUCACAGCACUGCAUAUGGUAGAUGAUCACUUGGUGUUUGGUUGGGUCUGAAAUGCAAGUGUUUUCAAGGGCUGCUUAUCGGUUUUAUAGCUAGUUUAUAAUCUAUACGUUAGGCAUGUAAUGGUGUGCAGGAGCACGAUUGAUCCAGAGCUGGAUGCGGUAGCACUGUCGGCUCUGUCAGCUCUCUUUUAAAUGGUUCAUCAGAUGUUUGCAAUGCUGGCUCCUCUACCACCUUGAUUUACCCGCAGCCAUGACUGCACUGCAGCCAUUUCGCUGCAUGCAACAUCUGGGAAUGAGCUCCAGGACUUCCCCACUCAGGAGCCUUUUGUCCAAUGAGCCACGAGAGCAGUUUGGCUGGCUGGGACAGAGAAGAUGGGAGCUUAUAAGUAAUAAAAAUUCCGGCAAAUCGUAUACAUUUGGCUGCAUUCACAGCUUGAGCUAAGUGAAUUGGAGGCAGUGUGAGCCGCUGUAAUAUGUCAUUUUCUCCAUCCCGCAGGCACAUAACUCACACAACUUUAGCUAUCUCUACCAAUGCCAGACUCCCCCAUGUCUGUCCCUUGCCACCCAAUAAGCCAGAUAGUGAUGUGGUGCUCAUAAUAGCACCUGCAAGGCUGCCCUGAGCCACAGCAGAAGCAUUCCUAGAGCAGCCAAAGAAGGAAACGUAACUGGGUAGACCAGUAAUUGAGAAACGUGAUAUAUUUCCGCCAUGAGAAGGUAGCAAUUCAUACCCUCUACCUAUCAUUAUCCUUAAGUAUUGAUUCCCCAGUCACAUUUUCUUUGUUAAAUGGCUUAUUUCAUCAAGGAGGGAUUCUGCAGCUGCAGUCAAAGUGGAACUGAGCGCAUGCAUACAUUUGGACUGCACAGUGUAUGUGACCUGAAUUUUGGAGUAGCCUCUAAGGCUAUUCUCCUAAUGAAAUCUCAGUCUUCUGCGUCUCCCACUGCUGGUUAACUCCCACCAUCUGAUGGGAUUGUCAGGACCUGGUGUCUUACUUUGCAAAAAUUAAGUAGUGACCAUCAGACACGUGAGAAGAUCCAUUUUGGUAAACAGCACAUUAAACAUUUCUAUGCGAUCGUUCAAUUUAUGUUAAACAAAUCUGCUUCGAUUGUGUUCCCAUUCCAUUUGUAUCUGCCUUCUGUGAGUGUUCCAGCAACAUAUUUACUGGCAUGGAUUUUCACCCAAACAGCAACAUAUAAGUGAACACAUUUGUAAAAAGCAGAUGUUGAAACUACAGUGAAGCAGUAUUUGGUAUUAAUGAGUUAAAGCCACUAUCAAAUAGCUAUUGGAAAUGUUUGUUUGUUGGAAACUGAGAAUUUAUACACAAUGACAGUAGUUGCCAAAUAGCUCUUUUGGGGGGCAAUUUCUUUUUCUGGGGGGAAGGAGCAAUGGAAAGUAAAGCAUUUUCCAUUUCCAGUUGAUUGCAUGGAUUAAAGGUCAUUCAGAAUACAUGCCCAGUCAGAAAAAAUAAGAAAAAACCCUUAUAUUUCAUGUCUCAUAUACUUAAAGCAGUGCUGACAGAAACAGUUUAGCAAACAAAUCAGAGGUUGAAGUGACCUUGUGUUGUCAAAAAAUGUCAAUCAACAAACAAAUUAGGGGAAAUUAUGACUUUCCUCCAAGAAAGAUUUAAAAACAGAUGGGAGUAAGGACUAAUUGUUUUGUGGGAGUGAACAUUUCCCAGGCUCUUCAAAAAAAAAAAAGAGAAAGACUUUUCUACUGAUCAGGCAUAGAAUCGUACCUUUACAUUGCUUUUAAAUCCCAUCUUUUGUAACAUUUGUACUGCAUGCUGGAAGAAUGUAGGUUGUCCUGUUUCACAGUGGAAAAAUACAAGAAUGAAGUUUUAAAAAACAAUUGGAAGCAAAUCUGAGAUCAAUUGAAAUCAAGACAGAUAGAGAAGAGAGCAAGCCCAGGCCAAAGAAGCAGAACUGAAAAAGAUAGGUCAACAGCUGAAGCUGUGUGGGACCCUGAGGAAAUUGGCACUGGCAGAGAAAUGUGAGUAAUGGCACAGACGGGAGCAAAUCACUUUUGGAAACAAAGGAGAGGAAUUUGAAAAUUUGCCUCAAAAUGCAUAGGAAAUAAAGAGUCUGAGAUGAGCAGGUAAAGAUGCAAUACUGUUGUGUCUUCUUGUGCACACCAACUUGGAAAGGUGUGGAGCAAGAAUGAUGCAAAGGUCAGACUGUGCUGUAGACGUGAGGACUGGUGGGUCAAUGUUUGAGACAGGUAGAGAAAAUGAAGUAAAAAUUCAGAAUAAUCGUAGAAUCAUAGAAUGGUUUGGAUUGGAAGGGAACUCAAAGUCCCACCAAGCUCAGGCUGCCCAGGGCCCCAUCCAACUUGGGCUUGAGUGCCUCCAGUGAUGGGGCACUCAUAGCUUCUCUGGGCAAAAAUAAGGCCCAAGUUAUGCCUAGCAUACACAGAUCAGAUCUCAAAGAGGGACAGAAAAGAAAGAUGAAUUACUUGAGGCAUUUUAGAUUAAGAGAAUCUAUUCUAGCUGUGAAGGAGUUAACUGAGAGAAGCUGGUACAAAUCCAGAUGCUUUCUUAGACAAGAAAUACUGCAGGUAAGCAGGGAAGAGCCAGUGAAGACAUAAAAGAUGUGUGUAUUUCAGCAUUACUGACAUAAAAGUGACUGGUAGAGCUCACAGGAAUUUUCUUCUGAAACACAUUUUUCAUCUGUGAAGUCAGUUUGUUGAAGCUGGCACUCUGUUGGAACAUGCUUUCUAGUCUCAGUGGAAAAGGUUGCUUAGAUCUAAGAUGGGAUCACUAGUCAGGAGAGAAAGGGAAGAGGCAAUCAAAAGAGGCAAAUAAUUAGUUCGCUCACCUAAAAUAGAGAAAACCCAGGGUGAAACUUUGCUAUGUGAGAGGAAGAAUUCUGAACCAAUGUUCUCAUAAUUUUGACAGCAAGCCCAGCUACUGCGCUGCUACAACUUCUAGGGCAGGGUUUUCUCCCUUCCUCAGAGCACAAACAAAAACAACUGAGGAGGUCUGGAUACGUCACAGUACAAACAGCAUAUUUAUUCUGAAGCUUCUAGAAUACCUGGAUGCUUUGCAGCAUCACCACCUCACCAUCACUUAAGGCAGAAGAAGACCAGCAGUAUCCUCCUGAAUGGAGUCUCUGUCUCUGAUGCCAGAAGUAACUGAGUUCUGUGUGGCCAUGAUCAGGUGCUGAAGACCUACUGCUCCCUUUCAAGUCCUACAGCAAAGCAAUUAGGUUAAGUUAUUUCAGACAGAAUUCCCAGAAAUUGAGAUGCAUAAAAUGAAUGAACACAUGAAAAUAUUGGCCCUAAUAUCUUCUGUGACUCAGCUUUUCCAUCUCUACAAUGGAGAAAAUGAUGCUUACUGAUUUUUCCAAAUACUUCUGAGCUCUACAGAUGUAAACCAGAGUGGAUGUUAAGUACGAUUAUCAUUCUUAUUAGAAAAAUACAUAAAAGAUUGUUUAUUCCUGGAGAAGGGAUCCCAGAAGAGAAGAGGCAUCCCUGUCUGAAGAAGUGCCUGAGAGCUGAGCAGCUGCUAAGAAACCAGAGUACCCUCAUCCUUAUGAAUACCCUGAGAGGGAUGGAGCGGGCAACCAUUUCACAAAGCUGCCACAAGGUGAAAAAGAGAUGGGGCCAGGCAUCAUUAGCAGCAAGGAGAUCAUUAGAUUUCUGCACUACGGUCUGCAUGAACCUACAGUGAAAAUGGCUGAGGACAGUCAUGUAGGAGAGAUAAGAGGGAGCGACUCUCUUAAGCACUCUAUGAAGAAUAAGAAGGCUCAGGGUGCUUGUUAAAUGGGAAGCCAAUGUCAAUGCAGGAGCCUGGGAGCACAGCAGAUAAUGGCUUAUUUUCAAAGAGUUGAGCAGUGCACCAGAAGCUAAGGAAUUACUGGAUUCAGGAGUAAAGUAAAAAGACAGAGUAAGGAGAUAGGCCUAAAUGAUGAGAGGUACCAGGGUCAAGAGAAGUGGUUGUUUUCUUGAGUGAAUGAAUUAUGUCAGAUGCUUCCAAGGCCACAAAGAGAGUAGGAGGAGAGCCAUGAGAAAGGUUCUGGAAAGAGAGAUGUUAAGUCUAGGUGACCUAAAUCGGGGUGAUCUGUGACUAAAAGACAAAUAUAUAUAUAUAUUGUGCAUGUCUGGAAAAAGACUAGGUGAAAACAACAUGGGUGUUCUGGGAAGAACAGCAGAGUCUGAGAAAUGGGGAGAAAGGGCUAAUGGCAGCUAGAGAAAUGCAGGAGGAAUAGAAGCAGUACUACCCAUAAUGAACUGUCCUGAGUCUCCUGCUGGACAUGGAGAAGGGGUUCAUACUGUCAUUUUUGAUGGUAUAAGCCAAGUGAUUGAAAACCAGAGACUGGGCAAAGUAUCAUGAAGAAGAUCUUGAAGUGAUGGAUAUUUUUUUCUGCUCUUUAAUGCAGCCAGUGUUGGACAGAAAUGGAGAUUAUGCAUCUCUGCAGGUAUUGCCAUAAUGGACUCAGAGGAAAGGAGGGAGCCAGUUACACAGCGGAGGAACACUAGUAGGCAUGUGGGCAGAGUGUUUGAAGGCAAUCAAAAGUUCAGUGCGAUCCUGAGAUGAAGAGACAACAGAGAAAUGGUGCAAACCCAGGAAGGCAGCAGUGGGAAGGGAUGGAAAAGUUGGAUUCAUUAGGCAGAGUCUCAGAGGUCAGGAAGCUGAAGGAGAGAAACUGCAUAGCAACAUAUGGGAAGGAAGAAAAAGUAAAUGGAGUACCAUAGAGCAAUAAAACAAAGACUGUAAGAAAUCUGAAGUAUUGUGGAAGGCAAGAAAGAAGAAAUUCACAUGCAGGGAGCUGUCUCAGGAUUGGUGGAGAGCUGAGCUGUUAAAAAUAAAUAAAUAAAUAAAUAAAUAAAUAAAUAGAGGAGGAUCCACUCAGAGUUUCAGAAACUGAAUCCAUCUCAUUUCACAGCCUAGUGAUCUGGAUGCUGUCCUUGCUCUCACAAUGAUCUAACUGAGCUUAAACCUGAAACUUGGUACUCAGGUCUGGCACAUCCUGUCCCUGGCUGCCAUGCAGAGGUGAAUUCUGUCCUCCUUCCAUCUUCCACGGUGCUUGUCCUUUAGCUCUUGUUUUCCAUGUGUCUCGGGAAAAGAGGCUGUUGUUCAGGGACUGCUGUGUGAUUUCUGCUCCUUCUGUCCCAGAUGUUACCCUGAACAGAAGGUAGGAGAUGGAGACUCUCCUGUGGGGGAUCCACAGGGAUGGGGAGGUUUCUUGCUUAUGCUAGCAGUUCUGUCCUGCAGGGAGCAUCCUUGGUUGGACAUGAUCCAGAGAAACUGCAAUAAACAGCAGAGAGAACAGCGCUGAUCUCCCCAGAACCCUGCAGAAUGUGGAAAUGGAGAGUUCUUGAGAAUGAAGGCAACCCCAUUGCCUUCCUCUCUGUAGUGCCCAACACCUGUGGGCCAGGAUAGGAGGUGCUCAGCCCCACAGUGUGCCCACAGUCUCAUCCCAUUGCAUGCAGACAGAGCUUUCCCUGUGACUGCCUCCUCCUGGGAAUUAUCGCUCCCGACGUGUGGGUGAUUGAUUAGGCAGGAGCAACCCAGAGGCAGUGCUGCAGUUAUUCAGACUAGAUCACGAAAACACAAACCCACUCAAUUCUGGGAGAUGGAGAGGCCCAGCAGGACUGUAGGGUAGGCUUAAUACUCACACUGAAAGUAGCGCACAACAGCAUUAUCUUUUUCUUACCUGCUGUUCCACUUGUGUCACUCUCUGCUCGAAUCCCUGUGCUGACUCCCAGCCUCCUUCGACAUCAAAGUUCAGCUCCUCACUUCAUUUCCAGGGCCUCACGUGGCUCUGCUGGGGCUUAGGUCCCUUUGUCCCCAACCCUACCCUGUGCUGACCCAGCACAUCUCCCACUCCUCAGCCACUCCAUGUCCUUAAAUCCAUAGCUCUGCUCCUCUCUCACCCUCUCAAGCCCAGCCUUUGCCACCUCCCUGCCAGCCACCCUCAGGGCUCAUUCAGUGCAGCUGGUCUUCCUGUACUAAUGACUUCCACUUCUGUGUCCUUGGCAAGCAUUUCCCCUUCUGACUAUUAACUUUGUUUACUACACUGCAUCUUCAGAAUGAGAAAUGAUUCAGAGAUACCCAGCUAAAGCCAGGAUCAAACAAGACAUGAACAUGCGAUGGUUUAGCUUGUGACCUUUCUCAGAUGCUUCCUCAUUCCAGCCUGCACAUCUCAGACCUAAUCACAUUCCCAGUGAUUUCCCGUUGGCUUUACAAGAAGCAGGAUCCAGGCCUUGUGGAUGCAGCCCAAAGUCCUGACUGCUGGGAGCCCCCUUUGGAAGAGCUGAGCUGGUGCCCCAAAGGUCGGGGUCUUUGUAUAAUGAAACUCUAGGGCAAGAGUCUGCCUUUGUAGCUGCCAGUAAAGUGCCACAUACACAUGAAGGCAUGUGGAAAUACAUGAUGCUUCACAGUACAAGUAGAGAGCAUUAGCAGGGAAAGGCUUUCCCCUCCCACUCACCCUUUGUCUAUCUGCUCCUUUCCUGUUGUCAAAAUAUAGCAUCCUUCACCAAGAGACUCAGUUUUGUUCUGAUGCUUGGAAGGCAUCCAGUCCCAGCUUGCACGCUGCUCUGCCAGUCUCCACAGGUAUUCUGUACACAGGGCUUCCAGCUAGUCAAGAAAUGCUCUAUCUUCUCCCCUCCCUGCUGGGGAAUCUCCAAGCACCAGGGUUGUUACAGGAUCCUGGUGGCUGGGCAAAGCCAAGCAAUCUUGCUGUGAUGUAUUAACCCCCACUGCUUUGCUGCACAUCACCAAGCACACUGCAGCAGGAGAGAAGCCCUUUGUAGGGGCGGAGGCCUGCCAUGGAGAAGCAUUUGCAUGGUUAGGUCUUAGCUUGGCCAAAUCUUAUUCUGAUGUUCACUGAAAGCGGCUCCAAUAAAGACAGUUUGGGCCAUAGAGGGGUGCAUAGAAGAAAGAGGCAGACUGGGUGGGAUGACAGAAAAAAAAGAGAUUUUUCUAGACCAAAACCAUGAGUCUGAUGUACUGAAAAUGUCAGUAAGCCGACAGUGCAGGCAUUCACCUCAUUCAUCCAGGAUUCAGGUGAUCAAGUCACAGUCUCUGUAACCCUCAAAGAAAUUUCCUCUGAAAAACCCUGACCACCUGCUAAAGAGAAAGGCUUUCUGCUGCAGCUGUAGCACGAGGAAAAAUAUAAAGAAAGGCUUUACUCAUGGCAAGGCAAACACAAAGUGAGGCUGAAACGCUGCAGUUCUUUGAUCUUGGCACACGUCCUGACAGGCAGCUCCAGCACAAAGAUAAGAUCACGAGGGUAAGAUCUGAGGUGCAGCACAGCAUUUUAAGGCUCUGUUGCUUUUCAGGCUGCUGUCAGUGCAGCAGUCAAUUAGAAAGUGGGGAAGGGGCUGGAAUUUCAGCUCAGUUUUUCUAGAAGGAACUGAGAAUUUUUUCAGGGGAAAAUGGAUAAGCCCAGAUGAGGUUUUGGCAGCUUUCACGUGGCAAAUUCUUGUUUUACAGGUUUUAUAGCAAGCUUCAGAUCCGAGACCUACCUUACCCAACAUAUGGGGCAGACACAGGGAUGUGGUUUGGGGCCAGAAGCUCUAAUGGGCACAUCUCCAGGGAAUCCAAUCCCAACCACAUGAGGUGGCUCGGACAUGAUUCAAAACCCUGAAACGGCCCUUCAGGUUUCUAACUGAGUGUAACGGGACCGGGUCACGUUAGUAAUGAUAUUCCCCAGUCUGGUACUGUGAGUAAAUUUUAUCCUGUUAUGAAUAGCCUCCUCCCCAGGACGCAAGAGCAGUGUUACGUGUAAGCGAAGCUGAAAACGCUUCAGAGAUUAGCCCUAGCACGUAGAUCCAGACUCUUUCGUAAUGAAUUAGUGUGUUCAAUGAAUGAAAAAAUAUUGGUGCAGCAGCACAGCUUGCAGUCAAGCUUCAAAGGGGUUCUGGUGGCUGAGCAGCACUACCUGCUCCAAUCGUGCCACAGGGGCUUUAACGCUCAUCCGUCACAGCCCCCCAUCUGCUUGCUCCUUUCCAGAUCACCCUCACUGGCCUCCACUCACCUUUCUUGCAGGCAUCAUCCCUAAACCUGGCACAAUUCUGCCCUCCGUGGAUUUCAUUUUAAAAGCAAGCAUAAACUUAACAGGAUACAGGCGCACGCACAACCAUAAAUGUCUCAUGAUCAUGUGCUGCUAUAAACCUCCCUCUUCCAAACACCCUGCUGGCACUGUUUGCUUGUUAAAUAACCCCAGUGCUGUGCUUAAGUCUAACUUUUGUUACAAGCACUUCAGGAGAGGGCCAAGGCAGUUUGUCUCCUUGUAAAGCACCAGGGUACCUGCAACUCAGGAGGAAUAACAAUAAUAAAAUUAUUAACGUUCUAAUAACAGCCUCCAAAAGUUAACACUGCUUGUGAGGGUUGGCAUUUGUUUUCUCUAGCUGCAUAAGGAAGGGACCUGAAAUUAAAUCUGUGCAAUACCUCCUCCAACAUCUGGUGUUUGAUGUGGAUUAGGAGCACCUAGUCAGAGAGGUACUCGCUCACCUAGUGAUGUUGGGAGCUGUGACACAGCUGGAUGCCAUACUUUGGUGGAAUACCCCAUUCAGUUCCACAUGGUGUAAGCUAUGCUUGCCAGCAUGGUUUGGACUGGGGAAGGGGCUGCAAUGGGGGCUAUUCCCAGCAAGUGAACAUCGCUGGGCCAGGAAGUUCCCUCUCCAGCCAUUGGAGACACCAAUAGCUUUGUCCCCAGAUGCUGGCAAGAAUGGGCUUGCUAUGCAUAAUAUCUGCCCCAUUCUCCCCCUGGUUUCUUUAUUGCUUUGAGGGCAUUUUUCUUCCUGAAGGGACAGCAGAAUCUCCAGGGCACUUUAUCUUAAAGGGAUUAGAGAUGCUCCCCAUCUGGGCAAAGCCUGGGCGAGCUCAGUAAGCACAUAAUGGCAGCUGCGCUCUUGCGUGACAGCCCCGCACUUGGGGACCUUCCUCAGCCUUGCAUGAAGGGCUCUGGGUUCCCCCAGUGUCAGACAUGCUGGAGGAAAGCCAGUCCUGCCCUUGCUCUGCUUCCUUGCCUUAAACCAUCUCCAUACUUGUCUCCUAGCCAAAAGAGGGUUUUCAUGCCCAGCAAAGCCAAUCAUCCCAAGUCUUGCAACUGUGGCCGAUCCCCUAGUUCUAGUUAUAGAUAUCAAUUGCUAAACAUAUGGGAUGGGGUCUUACCAAGCCCUGGAGGGGCUUGCAGAGGGGCAGCAGUGCUGAAAGGGAAGAGGAUAUGGAAGAUGGAGCAAAAGCUGCCGUUGUCCUUGGCUUUCUCUACUCUCCGGAUUAUUUCCCUGGGGUACUCGGAUGUUUUUAUUAUUAAUAACUAAUUUUUAUCUAGCACUUUGCAUCCUGAAGGACCCUAAAGCGCACCACAUACUUCAUAAGCUAAUUGCCAGCUGAGCCUAAUUCCUCACUCGGUUGUGACCAUAUCUGCUGAAGGAGCAGCUCAGGGUCACACUGGGUUUGCACCAGUUCAGCCGAGGACAGCCUCUCCCUAUAGAUCCAGCAGGAUAUGUCAGAGAUAAAUGCAGCGUAGGGUUGGAGGUGAAAAAUUUGAGUUGCCUUUUCUCCUCCUUCAUAAUUUAAAAAUGACUAAUGAAAUGGUGGUCACAAAGCCUUCUGACCAUGGCACUGCAAUUGUCAGUGUUGGUAUCUGUGUGCCAUGACUUCCGAUCACCCCUAGAGUUAUGAUCUCACCACCCACCCAAAACAUGACCUUCCAGGGCAAACCUGGCCCUGUCCUCCAAUGUAUACACACAGAUCAGCACCGUAGCUUUGUCCGGGGAGAAAAUGCAACCCCAGCAGACGAGCUGAACCAUAAAUCUUCUGCCGCAAGGAUUUCCUCUGUGUGCUUCUGGGGAGGACCAGAGGAGCUCAGCUGAGCUGUGUGCUUUCAGUUCAGGUUGGAGGCUGUUCAGUGCCUACGUCCCCAUCAGCUGGGAUGGUGUUUACGUGUUCUGUUUUCAGAGAGUUUGAUGUGGUAUCCCUCCAUGUAAAAACUGUCCUAGUUACAAUAUUGCUGCCGUGACAAACAAACAAACAAAAAAAAAAAAAAAAAAAAA